rnacentral:tRNA from 1 species
GGUGGUAUAGCUCAGUGGUUGAGUGUGUGCUUUGCAUGCACGAAGUCCUGGGUUCAAUCCCCAGUACCUCCA